UAAAAAUAUUUUCAUUUUUCAUUACUAUUUCACUUUUCAUUACUAUUAUAGCUGGCUUUUCUUAUUGAGCAGAAAAAUAGACAAGAAACAUUUGGACAUAUUCCUUUGCUUUGAGCAUUUCUGAAACAAUUCUGCAGUGAAACAUGCAUCCAUCAACCUAAUACUUUUGCAGUCAUAAUCAUCGUGCUAGUCCUACAUUAUUAAGGUGCCUUUAUGCAGUAGUCCAUGUACAUAUUUUUUCUUUAAAAUUGUAAUUUUUUUUCUCCAUAACAGAUCUCAAAUUAUUUUAAUUUCCUAGUUUGUCUUUUUUCGUCGUUUGCAUGUUGUGGGGCAGGAUUUACUUGCCCAGAGACAGUGGUAGAACUGAAUAGGGAGUUGAAAUUGAACUCAUAAGUUAGCUGUGAGGAAGAAAAUGAAGUUGAGGAAAGCAUGAGUAUCUUUAAUGCUUUAAUGGAUUUGUUUUUGAGCUCUUUGAUAUAGCAGACAUGGAUUUUUUCUAAAGAAUGAGAGUGCUUCAUACUGACUCUUAUAAAGAAGAUAAUUAAACCAGAGAAGAAUGCAAACCAGUAUUCAUAAAUGCAAAAUUUACAUGGUGGUCUGUUGCUGGCUGGCAGUCAAGAGCACACAUGGCCUAGUUUCCACUGCACUGGCAUGGGUCCUCCAGAGAAUGUAUUUCCUUUGGGGUUUAUUCCUGGACUAAGGCCCCUCUUGGGGUGUUACCUGUUCCACUGCAGAUCACCUCCUACAGCUCUGGUUGCAGUGAUAUUUUUAAUUGGUGCUCUCUCUCUUUUCCUAAGUAUGUUUCCACAGAGGUGCCACCAGCCUGACAGAUGGGCUCAGCUGUAUCCUGUGGUGCAUUCAUUGGAAGUGGCUGGAACCAACUGCAAAAGUAAGAGCCCAGUCAGUAACUGAUACUGAGUUACAGAAUUUAAUAGUCAGAAGGGGAUGGAUCACAACAAGGUGCAGUAAGAAGAGAGGGAAGAUGGAGUAGAAAGCAUAUGAGAGAACAAAAAGACAUUAGGAAGGAAUUAUUUAAUGUGAAUGUAGUGAAGCACUGGAAAAAGUGGCUGCCCCAUCCCUGAAAGUGUUCAAGGCCAGGUUGGAUGGGGCUCUGAGCAACAUCAGAUCUGGUGGAAGGUGUACAUGCCCAUGGUGGGAGGGUUGGAAGGAGAUGAUCUUUACAGUGCCUUCCAACCCAAGCCUUUCUAUGACAUGUGAUCUAUAAAUGCUGCUGAGCCUAUCUCCUAAUCCUUCCAAAAGGAAGUAGUUGUAUACAGAGCUUCAUAAAUAACUGUGCAACAUGGCCAAAGGGCUUCUGAGUAAAGAACACAUGCUGCACAGAAAGAGCUGGUGCCUUAGAGGGAUAUCCCAGCAUGCGAGCAUUGAAGAAAAAGGCGUCAAGCAAGAAAGAUUUACUGCAUAGCCCUGGCACCAGACCAAUGAAUCCAUCCCAAAGGACUUUAUUUCCAAUUACCUGUUUCUAUAUUACCAUACUGACUUGUGAAGAAUUCUCCCUUAUGGGAAUUCCUCAAUAAUUGUUGGUUGGGAUCUAUAAAUCUUUCUUCUCUGCAGUGUUAUCCUAACUUUUAUUAUCCUGCUGAGCCUUAACAUAAGAAAACAGUGCAAUUUGAUGUAUCUAUAUUUGGCCAUAUUCCUCAGUA